AUCCAACUGACGAGUCCUAAAUAGAACGAAAUGGGCAUUCUGGAU
rnacentral:hammerhead_ribozyme from 1 species